GUUUCAGUUGGUGAUCAUACGUCGAAAGCGCAACACGCAAAACGCACCGUUGCCUGAGAGGUAGUCAACAGUUGCCAACGAUACUUUAGUGCUUUGUGUGCUUUGUUAGUGUGUUUUUAAAUUUGCAAGUGUUAAAUAAUUUUUGAAAAUAAUAAUAAACGAACACUUUAGUUCAAGAGAAUUUACACUAAUUAAGUGUUACGUGCCGAUAAAUCAAGCGAAAUACGUUUAAUUGCAUUAAAAACGUGUUUAAUAAAUAUAUACUUGUAGUAUUUAAACAUUUUAUGUACAUAUAUCCGUCCAAAUGAGCCACAAGCCACAAUAGCAACAACAAAAUCACACUCAUUUAUUUAUAGAGAGAAUAACAAACUUAGUGCACAUACUAUUCGUAAGAAUUGUGAACAAGUAUUAAAGCAGACGCAGAAAAAAGUGCAACAAAAUGUCGAAAAAUAACGGAAAGAAUGAAAAACACGAAGAGUUCCCGCAACCUGCAGAGAAAAAAACAUGCAUGGAGAUGAUCUACGAUUCCCGAGAUGGAACCAUCUUUGGUCGCACUGGAAAAAGCUGGGGUCAACUGCUUCUAUUUUAUGUCAUUUUCUACAUCAUACUUGCCAUAUUAUUUGCAAUUUGCAUGCAGGGCUUGCUCGCCUCAGUUGAUGAGGAUCAGCCCAAAUGGAAAUUGGAUCAAUCGUUAAUUGGCACAAAUCCUGGCUUGGGUUUCCGUCCCAUCAGCGAAGAAACUGAACGUGGCUCGGUGAUUGAAUUCGAUGCCAAAAAGCCUGAAGAAGUUGCCUACUGGGUUGAUUUACUCAACGAUUUCUUAAAAGAUUAUGAUCACACUGAGGGUCGCAAUAUGAAACACUGUGACUUUAAGAAGCCCCAUCAGGCCAACGAGGUGUGUGUGGUGAAUACGGAGCACUUUGGUCCCUGCAACAAAGCAAAUAAUUAUGGCUAUGGCACCAGCGAACCUUGCAUUUUUCUCAAGUUGAAUAAAAUCUAUAAUUGGGAACCAGAGGUCUAUGAUGCACCCGUGCCAGCUAUGCCUGAGACUUUGCAGCAGCUUAUCAACAACACGGCUGUUGAGGAGCGUCAACAAAUCUGGGUUAGCUGCAACGGUCAUUUCAGCAAAGAUAAGGAACAUUUCGAGGAUAUCCACUAUUAUCCCAGCCAAGGCUUUCCGUCCUUCUACUAUCCUUACCGCAAUCAACCUGGUUACCUGAGUCCCGUAGUUGCAGUGCAAUUCAAGAAACCACCCAAUGGCACCAUGCUGGAGGUGGAGUGCCGUGCCUGGGCCAAGAACAUCAUAUACAGCGGCAGUUUACGGGAUCGCAUGGGCUCUGUGACCUUCGAGCUUCUCAUGGAUUAGAGCUCUUCAUUCGCACUACAACAACUUGUGAUCGCAACAUCCUAAGCCAGGCCAUAAAUAACAUACAUAUGUAUACAACUAAAUCAACAUUGUUUCAGAGCUUAGUCUGCAAUUUUUAAAUGUAUUGUAUAUAUUUACAUAAAUGAAGGGAAAUAUCGAUGAGUGUUAAUAACAAAAUCUGCCGGUAAAAAAUAUAUUAUAAAACAAGUAAAGUAAUAAUGAAUGCAACAUCGUAUAAAAAAGUUCAAAUCGUACACCCGUAAUUGUUGUUAUAGCUUUCAGCUUGUCUAAUGCUAU